rnacentral:rRNA from 1 species
UACGUAGGGGGCAAGCGUUGUCCGGAUUCACUGGGCGUAAAGAGCAUGUAGGCGGUUACCUAAGUCAGAUGUGAAAGUUUUCGGCUCAACCGGAAAAGUGCAUUUAAAACUGGGUAACUUGAGUAUCGGGGAGGUAAGUGGAACUCCUAGUGUAGCGGUGAAAUGCGUAGAGAUUAGGAAGAACACCGGUGGCGAAGGCGACUUACUGGACGAUUACUGACGCUGAGAUGCGAAAGCGUGGGGAGCAAACAGGAUUAGAUACCCUGGUAGUCCCUGAGCGGG